rnacentral:rRNA from 1 species
GUAGGGUGCAAGCGUUAAUCGGAAUUACUGGGCGUAAAGCGUGCGCAGGCGGUUGUGUAAGUCAGAUGUGAAAUCCCCGGGCUCAACCUGGGAAUUGCAUUUGAGACUGCACGGCUAGAGUGUGUCAGAGGGGGGUAGAAUUCCACGUGUAGCAGUGAAAUGCGUAGAUAUGUGGAGGAAUACCGAUGGCGAAGGCAGCCCCCUGGGAUAACACUGACGCUCAUGCACGAAAGCGUGGGGAGCAAA